rfam:Schistosoma haematobium scaffold430_26, whole genome shotgun sequence.
AUCCACCUGACGAGUCCCAGUUGGAUGAAAUGCGCAUCCUGGAU